rnacentral:rRNA from 1 species
AUGGGAUCUAGUUUUGAAAAUCUAGACGUGAGGAAUCCAUCAUGCGUAGGUCGGAGUGAUCUUUGUAAUGAGUACUCCUUAAUUAGUGAUUUUGGUGUGUUGCUGUUUCAUUUUGUUCGUUCAUUUUUUCUUUGGUUUUUCUUCUGCCUGCUUCAUGUUUUUCUUGUUUUUGGUUUUUUUAACUUUCUUUGUUUUUUCUUUUCCUUUCCAUUAAUACACGGUGAACAGUUUUAUUUGUGCUCUAUGAACAAUUUUUAUGUGUCUGUUUCUAUUCCUUCCUUUUUUGUUAUUUUUCUUCGUGUAUUAUACAAAGUUCAUUUCAUGUUUAUAUAG